rnacentral:lncRNA from 1 species
UGCAACCGUCCAGGGCCCGAGGAGGGGAGAGCCGCAGAAUAUCGGAGCUUUGUUUCCUUUCCCAGGCCGUGACAUGAUUAAUCGUUUUCUUCUGAUCUAAUUUUGGAACAUGAAAAACAGCACAUUUGUCUUGAAGAAAAAUGAUGUGCCGAACUGCGCAGAUGGAAAUUUCGAGCAAUGAGAAAGAUUAAAGUGAAACCCCACUCCUUAGACCUAAUCAUGAGUUGUAGAUUAUUCUGUCGGCCCAGCCAGAUGGUAGCUCUGAUUCCACAGCCCCUUCUUAUAUUAAUGAAUACUAGACUGUUAUAUUUGACUUAGGUAAGUGAAAUGUCUAUCAGAGCUAAUGGACUGCCAGCCAGCAUAACACAUGUUGUACCGCUAAGGGUCCUUGCUGCAUUUUUCAUGUUUUAUACUAAUGUAGAACAUUUUGUUUCCUACUGUUUUUCAUCAUUGUCACUGUUUGCUAAAUAUUUUCACAUGGAAGGGGGGGAGGGAGACAAAGUCAUGAGGAAAAAGAACCCCCCUCCAAACUUGUGUCCAAAGCUAAUUUCCUCCCGUUGGGCUUGGCUAUAACUCUACAAGUAAAACAGUCACCCCAAGCAAUGCGUACAGGAACUCAAUAGUAACGUGAUUAAGUUCCUAGUCAACAAGACUACACUGGACUGUAUGUUAACAAACCUAAUUAUAGCCCUGUGGUGAUAAAUUGGGCCCGGGCCCUUGCUGCACAUCUCUGAGGUCAUGUCUAGAAGAGCAGCUUGACCCUUGUCUCAGGGGAGAGAACUGUCCUGGAGAGGAGUCCCACGCUCAGCUUGGAGGAGGGGCUGUACUGACGCAGUAGUCUAGUGACUCAGGAGGGUGGGCACAUGCCGGGACACAUUGAAGAGCCGAAGGUCAGAGGUAUAAGCAACCAGGCAUUAGGCUGUCCUGGAUGAGGCUGGAAGGGUGGUGGCUUCAGAGCCAUUGGUGCCAUCUGUGUUGUGAGCAGUAUCAGGAUGCCUGAGAGGAGAGUGUGCUGUUCCCAGUUCACUGGUUCCAUGUAGGCCUCAGGAACUGGUGGCUCACUUUCUCUGUGCCCAGUAGAGGGUGGCUCAGACCCUCUUCCUUUUUCCAGAUGGCUGGUCUGUGCACUGGUGAGGUCCCAAACAGCUUGUUGUUCAAGAGGAAAUCCUGAGCUACUUGUUUGUGAAGGACCCAAGCCUGGGUGGGAGUCGUGUCCUGGAGA